rnacentral:rRNA from 1 species
GAUGAACGCUGGCGGCGUGCCUAAUACAUGCAAGUCGAGCGAACAGACGAGGAGCUUGCUACACUGACGUUAGCGGCGGACGGGAGAGUAACAUGUGGAUCACCCACCUAUAAGACUGGGAUAACUUCGGGAAACCGGAGCUAAUUCCGGAUAAUAUAUUGAACCGCAUGGUUCAAUAGCGAAAGCCGGUUUUGCUGUACUUUCUAGAUGGAUCCGCGCCGCUUGAGCUAGUUGGUAAGGUAACGGCUUGCCGGGGCGACCAUGCGUAGCCGACCUGGGAGGGGGUACGGGGACACAGGAGCUGAGAGGCGGUACAGAGUCUUACGGAAGGCCGAGAGAGGGAAGCGUGCGAGAAGGGCGAAAGCCUGACGGAGCAGCGCCGCGUGAAUGAUGAAGGUCCUCGUGCGGUAAAACUGUGUUAUGAUUGAAGAACGAAUGUGUAAGGAACUAUGCACGUCGUGACGGUACCUGCUCAGGAAGCCACGGCUAACUACGUG